CGGGAAUGUUGAGUAUCAUCGCCACCUGAACGGGUUGUCUCACAGGGUCAUCCGUGUACGUUUUCGUAAAGUUCACGGACAAAUAUUGUGUUUACAGCGGGAUAUACAACAUUCAUAGUGAAUACCUUUAGAAAAAAAAAAAAUAAAUGAUACAAACUAAAAAGGCGAACU